UCUCCUGGAAAACGGGUGGUAAUGCCGGAUGCUCCAUCACACUGCAUGGUGUGUUGGGAAAGCCUUUGCGGCAUGGGAUGGGGUCGCGUCCUAUCAGCUUGAUGGCGGGGUAACGGCCCACCAUGGCUUCGACGGGUAGCCGGCCUGAGAGGGCGACCGGCCACAUUGGGACUGAGAUACGGCCCAGACUCCUACGGGAGGCAGCAGUGGGGAAUAUUGCACAAUGGGCGCAAGCCUGAUGCAGCGACGCCGCGUGAGGGAUGGAGGCCUUCGGGUUGUAAACCUCUUUUGUUAGGGAGCAAGGCAUUUUGUGUUGAGUGUACCUUUCGAAUAAGCACCGGCUAACUACGUGCCAGCAGCCGCGGUAAUACGUAGGGUGCAAGCGUUAUCCGGAAUUAUUGGGCGUAAAGGGCUCGUAGGCGGUUCGUCGCGUCCGGUGUGAAAGUCCAUCGCUUAACGGUGGAUCCGCGCCGGGUACGGGCGGGCUUGAGUGCGGUAGGGGAGACUGGAAUUCCCGGUGUAACGGUGGAAUGUGUAGAUAUCGGAAAAGAAACACCA
rnacentral:rRNA from 1 species